CCUACGGGAGGCAGCAGUGAGGAAUAUUGGUCAAUGCGCGCAAGCCUGAACCAGCCAAGUAGCGUGAAGGAUGACUGCCCUACGGGUUGUAAACUUCUUUUAUAAGGGAAUAAAGUGAGGCUCGUGUGCCUUUUUUUAUGUACUGUAUGAAUAAGGAUAGGCUAAAUUCGUGCCAGCGCCCGCGUUAAUACGGAGGAUCCGAGCGUUAUCCGGUUUUAUUGGGUUUAAAGGGAGCGUGUAUGGGUUGUUAAGUCAGUUGUGAAAGUUUGCGGCUCAACCGUAAAAUUGCACUUGAUACUGGCAGUCUUGAGUACAGAUGAGGUAGGCGGAAUUCGUGGUGUAGCGGUGAAAUGCUUAGAUAUCACGAAGAACUCCGAUGGCGAAGGCAGCUGACUAAGCUGCCACUGACAUUGAUGCUCGAAAGUGUGGGUAUCAAACAGGAUUAGAUACCCUUGUAGUC
rnacentral:rRNA from 1 species